CUGUGCGGGCCAGGCCGGGAGGGGGCAGUCAGCCGGCCCGGUGGCUGGGGGCAGCUGAGGGACGGCCCCCUAAGUUUCAUUGGUUAGAGAAUCCCCAGGUGGGGGCGUGGCCAGGACUUGGCACACCUGUACCUGCUCUGAGGGGCGGGGAAUGGGACCCAGCCGGUUUAUUCUAAUUCCUCUUCUGUGAAAUGGGAACAGUCUUUAAUCCUGCUUUCUCAGAAAACGGCCAAGAAGGUUGACUUGACCUAAGCAGAAUUCCCCAAUUACCAAGUAGUGGUGAGCCCAGAUUUUCAGAUUCCAGAAUCAGGGUUUCUUUCCAUUGUUUGAUGCCGGACCAGAGAGCUUAAAGUCCUUUCCAACCCCAAAAUUCUGCAAUUCAGUGAAUUUUUGCUAUCUCCUAG